rnacentral:rRNA from 1 species
UACGGGGGGGGCAAGCGUUGUUCGGAAUUACUGGGCGUAAAGGGCUCGUAGGCGGCCAACUAAGUCGGAUGUGAAAUCCCCAGGCUUAACCUGGGAACUGCAUCCGAUACUGGAUGGCUUGAAUUCGGGAGAGGGAUGCGGAAUUCCAGGUGUAGCGGUGAAAUGCGUAGAUAUCUGGAGGAACACCGGUGGCGAAGGCGGCAUCCUGGACCGACAUUGACGCUGAGGAACGAAAGCUAGGGGAGCAAACGGG